UGCACAGUGGCGAGCUGAGGCUUGCGAGACAUCAGCAAGGCGAGAGCUAACCACUCGCUUCAUUUUUAGGGACAAGAAUCCUGGUACUUUUCCGCUGUAGCUGAUUUCCUCCAGAAUAAGAAAACAACCAUUGAUGAGAAACUGCUUAUUUCCCGAGAGCUUUGGUGUGGUCUUUUAUUUUUUUUUUACAGAAGGAGCUGUAGGCAGAUCAAUCUGUGAAUCUGACAACAUUUGAAUGUUUGAAGAGGAGAACGGGCAACCCAACAGCUUCACGGUUUGAAGUCGGCAAGGGAAGCUGUCCAGCAAGACACUGUAUCUUGCAAACAAGCUGUUAAUACAUAGACUAGCUAAUGUUACGCAGCGUGACACCCCGCUGCUCCUCCUCUGAUGCUCUUUGUGUCAGGCUCAUGUACCUCUGCAUAUUUCUGUAAGAACCAGUUCAGCUGAAGCGGCGGAAGAAGAACCUGGACUGGUCAUGAUCAGUUGUUCUGCAUAACUGUCGCCUGCUAGCUGGCUCUGUUUUGGCCGGUAAAUGUCAUCAGCUCGUUACCUGCACGUCUAGCUAGCUGGCUAAGUACAUUCUGAAUUUUGCACGCCGCGGCACUCGAGGAUUACAUACAGUCGGGGAACAAAAUAGCUAAUUUGCUAAGGGCAACUUCAACUUUGGGCGCCGGGCACAUUCUGGAAGGCGUGGCCGCUGGCAAUGCAAUGUUUCACCAAUGAGCUCACUGGCAGCAGCUUGAGGCAUCUCGGCUAGAACCCUCCGGCUGGAUUCCCUCUGAGCUCCGGCCAACAGCGCCCCACCCCCUCCCCCC